UUAGUACUCCCUCCGUCCGAAAAAAUGAAUAGAAGGGGAUGAAUUUAGAUGUAUAUUAGUUCUAGGUACAUCCUUUUUUAUCCAUUUUGAUGACAAGUAUUUUUGAACGGAGGGAGUACUAC
rnacentral:pre_miRNA from 1 species